CCUACGGGUGGCAGCAGUGCGGAAUAUUGGUCAAUGGCCGCAGGGCUGAACCAGCCACGUCGCGUGAGUGAUGACGGUCCUCUGGAUUGUAAACCUCUUUUGUCAGGGAGCAAAGGGCGCCACGUGUGGCGCUUUGCGCGUACCUGAAGCUACCGCAUCGGCUAACUCCGUGCCAGCCGCCGCGGUAAUCCGGAGGUUGCGAGCGUUAUCCGGAUUUAUUGGGUUUAACGGGUUCGCCGGCGGAAUUUCAGGUCAGCGGUAAAAUUUCGGGGCUCAACCCCGUCGUGCCGUUGAAACUGGCGUUCUUGAGGGAGCGAGAAGUAUGCGGAAUGCGUGGUGUAGCGGUGAAAUGCAUAGAUAUCACGCAGAACUCCGAUGGCGAAGGCAGCAUACCGGCGCUCAACUGACGCUCAGGCACGAAAGCGUGGGUAUCGAACAGGAUUAGAUACCCGUGUAGUC
rnacentral:rRNA from 1 species